rnacentral:rRNA from 1 species
AUUGAACGCUGGCGGCAGGCCUAACACAUGCAAGUAGAACGAGUGGCGGACGGGUGAGUAAUGUCAGGGAAACUGCCCGAUGGAGGGGGAUAACUACUGGAAACGGUAGCUAAUACCGCAUACCAUCGGAUGUGCCCAGAUGGGCUUAGCUAGUAGGUUGGGUAACGGCGCACCUAGGCGACGAUCCCUAGCUGGUCUGAGAGGAUGACCAGCCACACUGGAACGGAGAAACGGUCCAGACUCCUACGGGAGGCAGCAGUGGGGAAUAUUGCACAAUGGGCGCAAGCCGGAUGCAGCCAUGCCUCGUGUAUGAAGAAGGCCUUCGGGUUGUAAAGUACUUUAAGCGAGGAGGCGUUACUCGCAGAAGAAGCAUCGGCUAACUCCGUGCCAGCAGCCGCGGUAAUAC